rnacentral:rRNA from 1 species
CAGUCGCCGCGGUAAUACAGAGGAUGCAAGCGUUAUCUGGAAUGAUUGGGCGUAAAGCGACUGUAGGUGGCUUUUCAAGUCUGCAAUCAAAUCCCAAGGCUCAACCCUGGACAAGCGGUGGAAACUACCAAGAUGGAGUACGGUAGGGGCAGAGGGAAUUUCCGGUGGAGCGGUGAAAUGCGUUGAGAUCGGAAGGAACACCAACGGUGAAAGCACUCUGCUGGGCCGACACUGACACUGAGAGACGAAAGUUAGGGGAGAAAAUGGGAUUAGAUACCCGAGUAGUCCCUGUCUCUUAUAC